rnacentral:rRNA from 1 species
GAUGAACGCUGGCGGCGUGCCUAAUACAUGCAAGUCGAGCGAACGGACGAGAAGCUUGCUUCUCUGAUGUUAGCGGCGGACGGGUGAGUAACACGUGGAUAACCUACCUAUAAGACUGGGAUAACUUCGGGAAACCGGAGCUAAUACCGGAUAAUAUUUUGAACCGCAUGGUUCAAAAGUGAAAGACGGUCUUGCUGUCACUUAUAGAUGGAUCCGCGCUGCAUUAGCUAGUUGGUAAAGUAACGGCUUACCAAGGCAACGAUGCAUAGCCGACCUGAGAGGGUGAUCGGCCACACUGGAGCUGAGACACGGUCCAGACUCCUACGGGAGGCAGCAGUAGGGAAUCUUCCGCAAUGGGCGAAAGCCUGACGGAGCAACGCCGCGUGAGUGAUGAAGGUCUUCGGAUCGUAAAACUCUGUUAUUAGGGAAGAACAUAUGUGUAAGUAACUGUGCACAUCUUGACGGUACCUAAUCAGAAAGCCACGGCUAACUACGUGCCAGCAGCCGCGGUAAUACGUAGGUGGCAAGCGUUAUCCGGAAUUAUUGGGCGUAAAGCGCGCGUAGGCGGUUUUUUAAGUCUGAUGUGAAAGCCCACGGCUCAACCGUGGAGGGUCAUUGGAAACUGGAAAACUUGAGUGCAGAAGAGGAAAGUGGAAUUCCAUGUGUAGCGGUGAAAUGCGCAGAGAUAUGGAGGAACACCAGUGGCGAAGGCGACUUUCUGGUCUGUAACUGACGCUGAUGUGCGAAAGCGUGGGGAUCAAACAGGAUUAGAUACCCUGGUAGUCCACGCCGUAAACGAUGAGUGCUAAGUGUUAGGGGGUUUCCGCCCCUUAGUGCUGCAGCUAACGCAUUAAGCACUCCGCCUGGGGAGUACGACCGCAAGGUUGAAACUCAAAGGAAUUGACGGGGACCCGCACAAGCGGUGGAGCAUGUGGUUUAAUUCGAAGCAACGCGAAGAACCUUACCAAAUCUUGACAUCCUUUGACAACUCUAGAGAUAGAGCUUUCCCCUUCGGGGGACAAAGUGACAGGUGGUGCAUGGUUGUCGUCAGCUCGUGUCGUGAGAUGUUGGGUUAAGUCCCGCAACGAGCGCAACCCUUAAGCUUAGUUGCCAUCAUUAAGUUGGGCACUCUAAGUUGACUGCCGGUGACAAACCGGAGGAAGGUGGGGAUGACGUCAAAUCAUCAUGCCCCUUAUGAUUUGGGCUACACACGUGCUGCAAUGGACAAUACAAAGGGCAGCGAAACCGCGAGGUCAAGCAAAUCCCAUAAAGUUGUUCUCAGUUCGGAUUGUAGUCUGCAACUCGACUACAUGAAGCUGGAAUCGCUAGUAAUCGUAGAUCAGCAUGCUACGGUGAAUACGUUCCCGGGUCU